rnacentral:precursor_RNA from 1 species
UUGCGGAUGAUAUCCUCAAGGUCUGAGUAGGAGGAGGAGCCUGUCUCCGCCGAGG